rnacentral:rRNA from 1 species
GACGAACGCUGGCGGCGUGCCUCAUACAUGCAAGUCGAGCGAAGGCCAUCUCUGGGUAACCAGAGUGAAGCACUGAGCGGCGAACGGGUGAGUAACACGUGACCAACCUGCCCCGGACUCUGGGAUAACCCCGGGAAACUGGAGCUAAUACCGGAUACGCUCCCGCCACCACAUGGCGGUGGGAGGAAAGGUCCGCCGGUCUGGGAUGGGGUCGCGGCCUAUCAGCUUGUUGGUGGGGUAAAGGCCCACCAAGGCUACGACGGGUAGCUGGCCUGAGAGGGUAACCAGCCACACUGGGACUGAGACACGGCCCAGACUCCUACGGGAGGCAGCAGUAGGGAAUAUUGCACAAUGGGCGAAAGCCUGAUGCAGCGACGCCGCGUGCGGGAUGAAGGCCCUUGGGUUGUAAACCGCUUUUGGCAGGGAAGAAGCGAAAGUGACGGUACCUGCAGAAUAAGCCCCGGCCAACUACGUG